rnacentral:misc_RNA from 1 species
GUACUCUCACACUCUCCAAUCGUUUGGAUUUGGGGAGCGGUGGACUUGGGUGUUUGCUGCUUUCUUUGUGGCUCACCUGAAAUGCCUCAGUGCACCUCUUGGUUGGACAUAGUACGGCGUGAUAAGUGUCUUCGCCGGCACCUCAUUAGAGGGUGGCUGAUCGGGAGCUCUGUGCUUUCGAACCGUCUUCGGACAAUCUCUGACA